rnacentral:rRNA from 1 species
AUUGAACGCUGGCGGCAUGCCUUACACAUGCAAGUCGAACGGUAACAGGUCUUCGGAUGCUGGCGAGUGGCGAACGGGUGAGUAAUACAUCGGAACGUGCCCGAUCGUGGGGGAUAACGGAGCGAAAGCUUUGCUAAUACCGCAUACGAUCUACGGAUGAAAGCAGGGGACCGCAAGGCCUUGCGCGGACGGAGCGGCCGAUGGCAGAUUAGGUAGUUGGUGGGAUAAAAGCUUACCAAGCCGACGAUCUGUAGCUGGUCUGAGAGGACGACCGGCCACACUGGGACUGAGACACGGCCCAGACUCCUACGGGAGGCAGCAGUGGGGAAUUUUGGACAAUGGGCGCAAGCCUGAUCCAGCCAUGCCGCGUGCAGGAUGAAGGCCUUCGGGUUGUAAACUGCUUUUGUACGGAACGAAAAGACUCUGGUUAAUACCUGGGGUCCAUGACGGUACCGUAAGAAUAAGCACCGGCCAACUACGUGCCAGCAGCCGCCGUAACAC